rnacentral:rRNA from 1 species
UGCGAAUGGCUCAUUAAAUCAGUUAUCGUUUAUUUGAUAGUACCUUACUACUUGGAUAACCGUGGUAAUUCUAGAGCUAAUACAUGCUAAAAACCCCGACUUCGGGAGGGGUGUAUUUAUUAGAUAAAAAACCAAUGCCCUUCGGGGCUCUUUGGUGAUUCAUGAUAACUUAACGGAUCGCAUGGCCUUGCGCCGGCGACGGUUCAUUCAAAUUUCUGCCCUAUCAACUUUCGAUGGUAAGGUAUUGGCUUACCAUGGUUUCAACGGGUAACGGGAGAUUAGGGUUUGACUCCGGAGAGGGAGCCUGAGAAACGGCUACCACAUCCAAGGAAGGCAGCAGGCGCGCAAAUUACCCAAUCCCGACACGGGGAGGUAGUGACAAUAAAUACUGAUACAGGGCUCUUUUGGGUCUUGUAAUCGGAAUGAGUACAAUUUAAACCCCUUAACGAGGAACAAUUGGAGGGCAAGUCUGGUGCCAGCAGCCGCGGUAAUUCCAGCUCCAAUAGCGUAUAUUAAAGUUGUUGCAGUUAAAAAGCUCGUAGUUGAACCUUGGGCCUGGCUGGCCGGUCCGCCUCACCGCGUGUACUGGUCCGGCCGGGCCUUUCCUUCUGGAGAGCCGCAUGCCCUUCACUGGGUGUGUCGGGGAACCAGGACUUUUACUUUGAAAAAAUUAGAGUGUUCAAAGCAGGCCUUUGCUCGAAUACGUUAGCAUGGAAUAAUAGAAUAGGACGUGCGGUCCUAUUUUGUUGGUUUCUAGGACCGCCGUAAUGAUUAAUAGGGAUAGUCGGGGGCAUCAGUAUUCAAUUGUCAGAGGUGAAAUUCUUGGAUUUAUUGAAGACUAACUACUGCGAAAGCAUUUGCCAAGGAUGUUUUCAUUAAUCAGUGAACGAAAGUUAGGGGAUCGAAGACGAUCAGAUACCGUCGUAGUCUUAACCGUAAACUAUGCCGACUAGGGAUCGGGCGAUGUUUCUAUCUUGACUCGCUCGGCACCUUACGAGAAAUCAAAGUUUUUGGGUCUGGGGAGUGU